UACGUAGGGUGCAAGCGUUGUCCGGAAUUAUUGGGCGUAAAGAGCUUGUAGGCGGUUUGUCGCGUCUGCUGUGAAAUUUCGGGGCUCAACCCCGAACUUGCAGUGGGGUACGGGCAGACUAGAGUGUGGUAGGGGAGACUGGAAUUCCUGGUGUAGCGGUGAAAUGCGCAGAUAUCAGGAGGAAUACCGGUGGCGAAGGCGGCAUCCUGGACCGACAUUGACGCUGAGGAGCGAAAGCCAGGGGAGCAAACGGG
rnacentral:rRNA from 1 species